UUGCCUACGGGCGCAGCAGUGAGGAAUAUUGGUCAAUGGGCGAGAGCCUGAACCAGCCAAGUCGCGUGAGGGAAGACGGUCCUAUGGAUUGUAAACCUCUUUUGCCGGGGAGCAAAAAGCGGUACGUGUACCGCAUCGAGAGUACCCGGAGAAAAAGCAUCGGCUAACUCCGUGCCAGCAGCCGCGGUAAUACGGAGGAUGCGAGCGUUAUCCGGAUUUAUUGGGUUUAAAGGGUGCGUAGGCGGAAGGUUAAGUCAGCGGUCAAAUGUCGGUGCUCAACACCGGCCUGCCGUUGAAACUGGUCU
rnacentral:rRNA from 1 species